rnacentral:rRNA from 1 species
CUGGCUCAGAUUGAACGCUGGCGGCAUGCUUUACACAUGCAAGUCGAACGGUAACAGGGGCUUCGGCCCGCUGACGAGUGGCGAACGGGUGAGUAAUGCGUCGGAACGCACCGAGUAAUGGGGGAUAA